rnacentral:rRNA from 1 species
GACGAACGCUGGCGGCGUGCUUAACACAUGCAAGUCGAACGAUGAAGCCCUUCGGGGUGGAUUAGUGGCGAACGGGUGAGUAACACGUGGGCAAUCUGCCCUUCACUCUGGGACAAGCCCUGGAAACGGGGUCUAAUACCGGAUAUCACUCUCGCAGGCAUCUGUGAGGGUCGAAAGCUCCGGCGGUGAAGGAUGAGCCCGCGGCCUAUCAGCUUGUUGGUGAGGUAAUGGCUCACCAAGGCGACGACGGGUAGCCGGCCUGAGAGGGCGACCAGCCACACUGGGACUGGGACACGGCCCAGACUCCUACGGGAGGCAGCAGUGGGGAAUAUUGCACAAUGGGCGAAAGCCUGAUGCAGCGACGCCGCGUGGGGGAUGACGGCCUUCGGGUUGUAAACCUCUUUCAGCAGGGAAGAAGCGAAAGUGACGGUACCUGCAGAAGAAGCGCCGGCUAACUACGUGCCAGCAGCCGCGGUAAAAC